rnacentral:lncRNA from 1 species
AGACACCAGAGCAAAUUUUCACAUUGUACUUUUUAUUGGCAUUUCAGGAGCAACACACUAGGAUGACUAAAGGACGUAACACUUCUGGACGGGAAUUACAUGUUCAAGAAUUGUUUUGAAAUGUACAAGGAAGAUAUUGGCAUUCUCCUUGCGCCAUCAGCUGUUCAACAUCUGCGAGCUGCAAAGGCUCUCCUGUAUGACAAGGAAGCAGUAGACGCGGCAUUCGCAAUGCUCAUUUUAUGUGCUUCCAAGGGAUGCGGCCAAAGGACGACCUGCAGAUGUGCGAGUCACGUUUAUGGGAGCUGCAAAAAAGAAUUAAAGUGUAUCCCCAGUGUU